rnacentral:rRNA from 1 species
GACGAACGCUGGCGGCGUGCUUAACACAUGCAAGUCGAACGAAGAGCGAUGGAAGCUUGCUUCUAUCAAUCUUAGUGGCGCACGGGUGAGUAACGCGCAAUCAACCUGCCCUUUAGAGGGGGACAACAGUUGGAAACGACUGCUAAUACCGCAUACGAUCCGACCUCGGCAUCGAGGAUGGAUGAAAGGUGGCCUCUAUUUAUAAGCUAUCACUGAAGGAGGGGAUUGCGUCUGAUUAGCUCGUUGGAGGGGUACCGGCCCACCAAGGCGAUGAUCAGUAGCUGGUAUGAGAGGAUGAUCGGCCACACUGGAACUGAGACACGUUGCAGAGUCGUACGGGAGGGAGCAGUGGGGAAUAUUGGACAGUGGGCGGAAGCCUGAUCCAGCCAUACCGAGUGGGUGAAGAAGGCCUUCGGGUUGUAAAGCCCUUUUGUUGGGAAAGAAAAGAAGCAGGUUAAUACCCCGCUGUUGUGACGGUACCCAAAGAAUAAGCACCGGCUAACUUCGUG